ACCUACCUAUCNGAGGGGAAUAACCCGGCGAAAGUCGGACUAAUACCGCAUAAAACAGGGGCACCNNNNGGNGAUAUUUGUUAAAGAAAUUCGCUGAUAGAUGGGCAUGCGUUCCAUUANGUAGUUGGUGAGGUAACGGCUCACCAAGCCGACGAUGGAUAGGGGAACUGAGAGGUUGGUCCCCCACNCUGGUACUGAGACACGGACCAGACUCCUACAGGAGGCAGCANUGAGGAAUAUUGGUCAAUGGGCGAGAGCCUGAACCAGCCAAGUCGCGUGAAGGAAGAAGGAUCUAUGGUUCGUAAACUUCUUUUGCANGGGAAUAAAGUGCAGGACGUGUCCUGUUUUGUAUGUACCCUGANAAUAANGAUCGGCUAACUCCGUGCCANCANCCGCGGUAAUACNGAGGAUCCGAGCGUUAUCCGGAUUUAUUGGGUUUAAAGGGUGCGUAGGUGGUUUGAUAAGUCAGCGGUGAAAGUUUGCAGCUUAACUGUAAAAAUGCCGUUGAAACUGUCGGACUUGAGUGUAAAUGAGUAGGCGGAAUGCGUGGUGUAGCGGUGAAAUGCAUAGAUAUCACGAAGAACUCCGAUUG
rnacentral:rRNA from 1 species